UUGACAUAUUUGAAAGUAAUUCCAGGUUAGGGGAGGGGGUGGGGUUUCAAUGCUCCUAGAGAAGUUAUCUACAAUUUCCUAUUUUCAGGCACUUCAAUAUAACUUAGAGAAAACCUGUAUAACAAGAAUAGUAAUAUGCAUGCUACCUCAAUUUAGUACACGAAAUUUAAAAAUACAAUUGAACAUAGAAAACCGGACAAUAUCGAAACUACAAGAAGAAUACUUGAAAAGAAAUUAUG
rnacentral:misc_RNA from 1 species